CCUGCUGCCUGUCGGCCGUCCUGCGGCCUCGGCUGCUGCUGCUGCUGCUGCUGCUGUUGCUCUGGUUUGAUUCUGCUCCUUCAGGCUGAUCCGCUGGGUUGCCACUAGAAGAGCCCCUUCCACCAGACAUCCCAGAACUGGACUGAGAGCCCAUAGACUGAAGAGGGCCUGGCACGGAAAAUCAUUUGGAAAUUCAAUAACAGUUUAGGUGUACCUGGGGGAAACCAGGUCCAUGGUUUUUGCCAAAAAGUUGGUUCUGAAGGCUGACGCAGUGCCCUCCAUUCGUCCUGGGAGCCCAACAGGUCUUAAGCAUGUGGCAGCUGCAUUUGGUUUAAAAAGAGCAGAUGUGGCCUGUCAGUGUACCUCAGUGGUCGUGCAUGAAGUUGGCCUCCGGUGUAGUCUUCCUGCGAACAGGACGAGGACUUUGGGGACCCAACUGUCACAGCGCACAUUGACAUACAGGAGAAGCCCGGCUGUCCAGACAAAGCUGUCCACAACAGGUGCUGCUGUUGGUACAGUAGAGAUAAAACCGGCAGAGCAAUCCCUCGGAGGGCUAAUUUCAAGCUCUCAGAACCCCCCUCAAUCACCCCCGACUGAUUGGUCACAGCCUGAAAUUGAAGAUGAUGAUCAAUGUGUGACAGUGGCAACUCAUCUUUUGUUACAAGUCUCUCUCUUGUGGAGGAAUCAAGUCAUGUUGUGGUCACAGCACUGCAGAAAUGGAUGAGCAAGAGGAUCUUUUUUUAAUAGAUGUAAACCCAGCUGUAGACAAAAUCCUGCAGUGUCUGCAUACUUUAUUCUAUCUCGCUUAACAAGAGCAUGCUGCAAAAAUGAAAGCUGUGAGUAAUUUCUUCAGCAUAACAGUGGCAUCCCGGCUUUGAACUUAUCUCAUUAUAAUAAGAAAGCAUCUGUUGCUAUUGUAAAAAACAGAAAAUGUUUUUAAAUAGAUUAUUCUCUCAUUUUAACUAGAUGGUUUGUCGUGAUUGCCUUGUUGUGCAAACAACUAGGAUAGGUAUAAGACAUGACACUUGAACCUGGACACCUGGAAAUCUAGACCCAAAUCUGAAAGAUUAAGGGUCUGGCACUGAGUAAUGAAAGUCAGCCAUCUCGAGGGGCGGCACAAAGCCUGUAUUUCAAAAUCUCAAUGCAUGCAAUUGGAUAACACUACGACCAAUCACCACAACACACAGGGUGACGUUUCCAGAGCCCCAUACGCUUAGCCACCAGCGGUUGUCAUCUGUUUAGUUCGCCUCUGGCCCGCCUACAUCAGAUACACCGAUGUGAUUGGUGCAGCUCGGCUACAAGAGCAUAGUUAAUGAGCAGCGUUACGCAAUGCCAGAGUAACUUGCUGAGCAAAUUCAAAUUGUGCUCUCGC